CUGUGCUGCUGUUGUCGCAUAGUUUUGUUGGCGGAGCAGCCUCACCUGCUCCUCGUUUCAUUGAAAGCGAUGUUGAUGCAUUUGAUUGACUCUCUUCGAGGAGACGCAUGGCCGCCGUCAGCUCGUACCGUGAGCGUCCUGUUAAGUCAGACAACGAGCGAGACCUCGCCCUCAGUUACCAGCUUAUCCUCUGUGGGAUGAUGGGCACACUGAGGGCGACCGCCUAUGAUACAUAGGAAGAAGAAGUCGACGACGUUGGUUCUUAUCCCCAUAUCCUCUUGGCAACACGCGUGCUAAGUGGCUAAAACAAUGUCUUCCGACCCAAGAGGGGGGAGUCACUCCCUCUAACUUUAGCCGUAGUUUGGGAGUGAGGCACUGUCACCUCGCUCUAGUGAAGUGUGAGAGGCGUAAAACCCGCAUAUCAUUGUGCCGCGGAGAAUACGCUGUGCUCAGGGCACAGAGGGGUU
rnacentral:rRNA from 1 species